rnacentral:lncRNA from 1 species
UGAAAGAGUCGACGCUGCCUCAACCGCCGGUGCGGGUAAUACAGUCUAUCGGCAAGCCUGCCUUGAUAAGACCAUCCUCUGUUGGCACAGCAGAGCGGCACCGUUCACGAUCACGGUCCCGCAGACGUUCUAGGUCCCAUCGGCGCUCCCGCUCCCAACGCCACUCACAGUCCUGACACCGUUCUCCUCCUCGGUACCAGUCGCACUCGCGGCACCAUUCAGUAUCCCGUUCACCAGCCUGCUACUCUCGGCACCACUCCAGGCACCGUGACUUCUGUAGCCGCUCCCAACGUCGAGCCUCGAGAUCUCAGUCGACCUCCCGGCACUGCUUUGGUCACAGGUCCCGAUCUAGUUCCCGGUACCGGUAUGCCUCUUGGUACCGGUCCCAGAUGCCGAGUAGAGCAAGGUCUGCUAGAGACAGAGACUCUGACAUGGCCAUCCAGACACGCAUCAGUGUCGUCCCACGCGGACAGCUCUUAUGCACAGGACUGCGAUUCCGAUGUGCCCACCAGAGUCUUCCAAGAGACCCAGGCCCAGGACCAAGGCCCCCAUCAGUGGUCUUUCUGGACACCUUGGGCGUACCACCAGGCCCAAGGCGUACCAGUAGUUCCGUCCCGCUCUAUCCCAUCAGAGCACCGAGUGCCAGAGGCGACAGUUAGCCAUCAUCCUCCGACUGCUACAGAGGAAGCUCCAGUUCACCCACCAGACUCCCAGGUUCCACUGGAGCAGGAGGUCGCCCAAGAACAAGAGGCCACACAGGACCCGCUUGUUGCCGGCAUCUCCUCUUCCUCUUCUACAGAUGAAGCGGUGGCAGGAACAUCCUCCUCGGGCCCUCCUCCAAUCGACCUGAGAGCCCAUCAGGACCUCCUGAGGAGGGUAGCACUCAAUAUGAACCUCCAGGUGGAGGAGGUCACGGAGGUAGAGGAACCGGUAGUGGACAUUCUGUUGGCGGAUGCCCCCACCAGACUGGCCCUACCGUUUAUUCGGACCAUCCAGGCCAAUGCCAAUACUAUAUGGCAGUCUCCAGUCUCUAUCCCUUCUGCGGCCAGAGGAGUCAAGCGUAAAUACAUGGUGCCCUCUAUAGGGUAUGAGUACUUGUAUGUCCAUCCUCCACCCUGCUCACUAGUCGUCCAGUCUGUUAAUGAGAGAGAACGCCAUGGCCAGCAGGCACCAGCCCCGAAAUCGAAGGAUGCUAGGCGAAUGGACUUACUCGGCCACAAAGUGUACUCGGCAGGUGCCCUACAGCUCUGGGUGGCAAAUCAAGAAGCCCUGCUUAGCCGCUAUAAUUAUAACACCUGGGCAGUGGUGGGUAAGUUUACAGAGCUACUCCCUCAAGACUCUCGCCAAGAGUUCACUGCCCUCUUGGAGGAAGGGAAAAAGAUGGCCAGAACUUCCCUCCUGGCCUCGGGUGUUGCCAUGAGGCGCAUCUCAUGGCUUCAGGUUUCAAGCCUCCCACCAGAGCUGCAGUAUACCAUUCAGGACUUGCCAUUUGAUGGUAAAGGUCUCUUCUCAGAAAAGACUGACCCCAGGCUGCAAAGCCUGAAGGACAACAGGGUCAUAAUGCUCUCUCGGCAUGCAUACACCGGUGACCCAACACAGGCUUCUCCGUCCCCAGCCUCACCGCCCAUACUCUGCGCCUAGACAAAGACAGGACUUUGGCAGGCGGCACGGCCGAGGUGGUCGCAGAUGACCAUCAGGACCCCAAGAGGGCCAAAAUCAAGGUCCCUCAAAACCAACAGCUGGACCAAAGACGAACUUUUGAAGGUGCGCCCGAGAGUGGCGUACCACUUACAGGCCAGGAUCCUUCUCCCCUCUUCUCCAACCGUCUCUCCUACUUCCUCCCGGCGUGGUCCCAAUUAACUUCAGAUCGCUGGGUCCUACGCACGGCGGAGUAUGGGUACCACCUCCAAUUUAUUUCAACCCCACCC